GGCCGACGUAGCUCAGUUGGUAGAGCAACGGUUUCGUAAACCGUAGGUCGACAGUUCGACUCUGUCCGUCGGCUU
rnacentral:tRNA from 1 species